CAGAACGAACGCUGGCGGCGCGCCUAAUACAUGCAAGUCGAGCGAGAAGGUGUAGCAAUACACUGUAAAGCGGCGAACGGGUGAGGAAUGCAUGGGUAACCUACCCUCGAGUGGGGAAUAACUAGCCGAAAGGUUAGCUAAUACCGCAUACGUUUCCGGAACUUCGGUUUCGGAAAGAAAGCAAUACCGUGGGUAUUGCGCUCCUGGAUGGGCUCAUGUCCUAUCAGCUUGUUGGUGAGGUAACGGCUCACCAAGGCUUCGACGGGUAGCUGGUCUGAGAGGACGAUCAGCCACACUGGCACUGCGACACGGGCCAGACUCCUACGGGAGGCAGCAGUAAGGAAUAUUGCGCAAUGGACGAAAGUCUGACGCAGCGACGCCGCGUGGGGGAUGAAGGUCUUCGGAUUGUAAACCCCUUUCGGGAGGGAAGAUGGAGUGGGUAACCACUUGGACGGUACCUCCAGAAGCAGCCACGGCUAACUUCGUG
rnacentral:rRNA from 1 species